CGCCGCACCCCUCGAGCCCGCGCGGUCCUGCGCGGGAGAAGUAUGCGCACCGCUGGAGCGGAAAGGGACCCCGGGAAUGCGCGGGUGCCCCGGAGAGCCUGCACUCCCCUCUUCCCCCCAAAAAAGCACCUCUGCAGCUCAGAACUGUAGCCAGCGCUGAGAAAAACGGGACGGGGCCAAGCGAGCCGGCGAGGCUGUCGUGCACCCCGCGGAAGAUGAGAAACCUGAAUGCGGGGAAGGAACAGGCUCGCCAGGCCCCCGCGCGAUCGCACCCACCGGCCAGCGUGCGGAAGGAGAGUUGCACUGCAGACCAGAUGUUAAGGCAAACAUUAUCCACCGAUCGUUUGGCGCUAAAUUAUCAAAAGAAACUCCGGCUGCAGUGUGGAAAGUGGAUGGGAAGAAAGCAAACUUAGAUACAGGGAUAUGAGGUUAACUAGGGUCACCAAUGCUACAGAACUGAACAUGAGGUUAUUUUUCUACUCAUUAUUUUCUGGUGUUUUUAGCAAGGUUACUUAUUCUCCUGUCUACUUUUUCU